rnacentral:lncRNA from 1 species
GGGGCGCGGGCAGGGUUUUCGGGUCUUCUGCGGAGCCUCUCACUCCCGAGCUCUGCGCCCCUGCUCCCGGGGCUGCCGGGGGUGAUCCCGUCGCGGGGGUGCAGGCUCGCCAAGACCUGGGUGGGCGGCUGGGCCGAGGGGCCUUUUACAUCUCUGAACCCCGUUUUCUCACCUCGGCUUGUGCCCGGAGCCUUUGCAGUGAUGGCCUGCGCGAACGCGAGUGGGUAAAACGCCGGUGAAGAGCGUGUUUAAUACUGACUAUUCCUGCCCUAAAACCCACGGGACAGACUGCAGGCCUCCGCGUGAAAAGCUGGCCAUAGAAUGGCGUUUCUCUUGCCCCAACUGUAAAUUAAGGAUGCCCACGGUGCCCUCCACACCCAGAUGAGGGAACCGCAAGAGGUGGCCUCCAGAACUGGCUGUGACAGCCAGGCACACCCUCCAGGAAGGGGAGGGUUGUCUCCGGCAGCCGCCGACUCUCUGCCUGUGAAAACGCUGGCUCCAAUUCACAGGGUCCUGCCAGCCCCCACCCUCCAGCCCAGCUCAUGCAGAAGGCAGAGGGAAGAUCCAUACGGGAUGUGUCUAAGAGCAAGGUGCACUAGCUGUACCCCUCCGCACUUCUCGGAUGUGUGCCAUCCACUCUCCCAAGGGAUCCAGUUGCAACGGGCACCUGAAGGACUCUGCUGUCGCCUGCCACCAAGAGAAGGCGGGGAGCAGCGGAGCCCUGGGCACAGCUUCAUUUGAUUCUCCACUCUCCCCCCUCUGAACUGCUCUAGAUGAAGCCAAUCAGGAUCACUUUCUUUUCAUUACUUCAAGGACUCCCUCAUCCAGACCCUCUCCUGUUUUUCCUUGCUUUGGCCUGGAAUUAGCAAGGAGGAGUGAGUUCUCUGUGCCUGUAGCCCUUAUUGAGGGUUCCCACUGUUUGCCCAGCCACAGAUGUGAUCUGGGGGCCUCUGUGCCAGCGUGCAGUGCAGCUUGGCAGGAGCCCG